ACACAGGGAGAUUUCAAAGGGUGCAAAUUAUAAUCACAGAACAGACACUGGCUUUAGCUUUUCUCCUUUCGUCUUCUCUCUAAUUGCAGAGGCUGGUCUACUUUUUACCCUGACCCUUCAAUUUAAAUUCCUCAGACAUAUUUUCUUACAGGAGAAGCUGUCCUCACCUCAGCCUCCAAAAAUGCCACUUUCUCCUCCAGCUCUUUGAUCACGCGGUCCCGCUCCUGGAUCACCAUGCGAGAGUUCUGGAGCUAAAAACGAGCAAACGGAGACAGACACAUGUCAUCCAGAUGGUGGAUCUUUUCUUUGAGUAUGGCCACCUCCUUCUCCAACUGCUCAGUCCUAAAAAUACACACAUUCCCGCAGUUCAUCCUCACGGUUGCGGAUGGCCUCCCGCAGCGUGGCGCUCUCCUGCUCCAUUCCUCCCAGCAGCCUCUGGAGCUCAUCAAUGCGCUGGUCUUUCUUCUCGCUGGCUUCUUCUGUACUCCUCAGCUUCUCCUGCUGGUCACUCAGACGCUCUCUAAGCCUGCUGCCUUCAGCCUG